AUGUUAUGGUCGUGUCGUGCUCGCUCCCUGCCCGCCAGGCCCGACUCGUUGUCGUGGCCGCGCCAAGCUCCCUGCCCGCCAGGCCCGACUCGUUGUCGUGGCCGCGCCAAGCUCCCUGCCCUGGCCAUGCCCGGCUCCCUGCCGUGGUCGCGCCGCGCCCGCUCACUGUCGUGGCCGCGCCGCACGGGCGCGCGCUUUCGCCAUCAGUCGCGCCACGCUCAGCUCACUGUCAUGGCUGCACCAAGCUCCAUGCCCUGGCUGGUGCGCCGCGGGUGUGAGGAGGAAGGGGACGAGGGGAUAAUGUCUUUUUUAGCAGCGAACGAGGGAAUUAAACACAAUAAGCGUCGCGUUAAGGACGCUCAUUCGCGUGGUACACCUGUCCGAUUUUACUGUGCAUGUUUUACUGUACCGAACGAAACAAGACUUGUUCAUGAUCGCUCGACUGGGUAG
rnacentral:rRNA from 1 species